AGAGCUGUUGUUGGCAAGAUGGCCGCUUGGUGAGAAUAUUUGUUGUCCCGAAAUAACCGUUCAAAUUGAAGUGUGGACAGAUGAGACACACGCGUGUUUAUCUAGUGCACAGUGACUGAUGAAGGAAUGCUGCCAUCAAAGGCUUUGAAUCUUUUGUGGUGGAGCAGGACCUGCAAGGAAAGGUGACAGCGACAUUUGUGAAAAAAGGGAAAACCUGAAACAAAAGGAUAAAGUAAGAU